rnacentral:rRNA from 1 species
AGAGCGAACGCUGGCGGCAGGCCUAAUACAUGCAAGUCGAACGCACCUUCGGGUGAGUGGCGGACGGGUGAGUAACACGUGGGAACGUGCCUUUUGGUUCGGAAUAAUCCGGGGAAACCUGGCCUAAUACCGGAUGUGCCCCCUCCUUUAAUCGGGAGGGUGGGAAAGAUUUAUCGCCAUUAGAGCGGCCCGCGUCUGAUUAGCUAGUUGGUGAGGUAAAGGCCCACCAAGGCUACGAUCAGUAGCUGGUCUGAGAGGAUGAUCAGCCACACUGGGACUGAGACACGGCCCAGACUCCUACGGGAGGCAGCAGUAGGGAAUCUUGCGCAAUGGGCGAAAGCCUGACGCAGCCAUGCCGCGUGAAUGAUGAAGGUCUUAGGAUUGUAAAAUUCUUUCAGCGGGAAGAUAAUGACUGUACCCGCAGAAGAAGCUCCGGCUAACUUCGUGCCAGCAGCCGC